CAAUUGGAGUAGAAUUUUCUGCUUAACAGCAUUCUCUUGUAAUGAAUAUAGAAUAGUGCCAUUUUAUUUAACCACAUACAACAAUAUGUUGCUUUGUUUUUGGUUUGCUAUUUACUUCUUUGCCAAUUCUAUCACUGGAAAUUUUCAAGAUCGGUGGAACCAAAUAUUCCGGUCUUGCCUUAUGUAGGGAUGAAAUGAAUGAAGGUGG
rnacentral:misc_RNA from 1 species